UCCGGUGUGGUCUAGUGGCUAGGAUACCUGGCUUUCACCCAGGAGGCCUGGGUUCGAUUCCCGGUACCGGAA
rnacentral:tRNA from 1 species